rnacentral:tRNA from 1 species
GGUGAGGUGGCCGAGAGGCUGAAGGCGCUCCCCUGCUAAGGGAGUAUGCGGUCAAAAGCUCCCCGCCUCACCGCCA